rnacentral:tRNA from 1 species
GUUUAAGUAGCUUAACACCCAAGCAUCAGCCUUGUAAACUGAAGAGUAGAGGUUAAAAACCUCUCUUAAACU